UAGGGAAUCUUCCGCAAUGGACGAAAGUCUGACGGAGCGACGCCGCGUGAGCGAAGAAGGUCUUCGGAUCGUAAAGCUCUGUUGUUAGGGAAGAAGAAGUGCCGUUCGAACAGGGCGGCACGGUGACGGUACCUAACGAGAAAGCCCCGGCUAACUACGUGCCAGCAGCCGCGGUAAUACGUAGGGGGCGAGCGUUGUCCGGAAUUAUUGGGCGUAAAGCGCGCGCAGGCGGGCCCUUAAGUCUGAUGUGAAAGCCCACGGCUUAACAGUGGAGGGUCAUUGGAAACUGGGGGACUUGAGUGCAGAAGAGGAGAGCGGAAUUCCACGUGUAGCGGUGAAAUGCGUAGAGAUGUGGAGGAACACAAGUGGCGAAGGCGGCGCUCUGGUCUGUAACUGACGCUGAGGCGCGAAAGCGUGGGGAGCAAACAGG
rnacentral:rRNA from 1 species